AGGCGAAGUAACGCCAUAGGCCGCAACCGGACGCAGCCACUGAGCGGCGGACUACCUCGUCGGGUCCGCCGCUUUUUU
rfam:Xanthomonas oryzae pv. oryzae KACC10331, complete genome.